rnacentral:rRNA from 1 species
GACGAACGCUGGCGGCGUGCCUAACACAUGCAAGUCGAACGCACCGUUUAUAUCGAAUCUCGCUCCACUACAUAAUGCGUGUUACGAACGGGUGAGUAUCGCGUUGGUUACCUGCCUGGUGGCGGGGGAUCACUUAUUGUCACGAUAGCUAAUACUGCUUACUAUUAGUUAUUGCAUGAUAGUUAAUUGUAAGGUGUAAUUGAACCACUAACAGAUGGACCUGCGUUGUAUUAGCUAGUAGGGGAGGUAACGGCUCACCUUGGCGACGAGACAUACCCGACCUGAAAGGGUGAUCGGCCACACGGUGAGAGAGAAUGGGCCCAGACUCCGACGGGAGGCAGCAGUAGAGAAUCUUAGGCAAGGGAGGAAAGGCGGACCUUGCAAAGUCGCGUGAAGGAUGAAGGAUUUCGGAUCGGAAAGCUAUGUUGUAAGAAAAGAACUGAAGUUAUAUUAGAAAGGACGCACAUGGCCGGUAUCUGAGCAGAAAGUCACGGCUAACUACGG